UCUCCUGGAAACGGGUGGUAAUGCCGGAUGCUCCGACUCCUCGCAUGGGGUGUCGGGAAAGAUUUCAUCGGUAUGGGAUGGGGUCGCGUCCUAUCAGGUAGUCGGCGGGGUAACGGCCCACCGAGCCUACGACGGGUAGCCGGCCUGAGAGGGCGACCGGCCACAUUGGGACUGAGAUACGGCCCAGACUCCUACGGGAGGCAGCAGUGGGGAAUAUUGCACAAUGGGCGCAAGCCUGAUGCAGCGACGCCGCGUGCGGGAUGACGGCCUUCGGGUUGUAAACCGCUUUUGAUCGGGAGCAAGCCUUCGGGUGAGUGUACCUUUCGAAUAAGCACCGGCUAACUACGUGCCAGCAGCCGCGGUAAUACGUAGGGUGCAAGCGUUAUCCGGAAUUAUUGGGCGUAAAGGGCUCGUAGGCGGUUCGUCGCGUCCGGUGUGAAAGUCCAUCGCUUAACGGUGGAUCUGCGCCGGGUACGGGCGGGCUGGAGUGCGGUAGGGGAGACUGGAAUUCCCGGUGUAACGGUGGAAUGUGUAGAUAUCGGAAAAGAACACCACC
rnacentral:rRNA from 1 species